GUAAAUUCAAGCUUUGCUUGGUGUUGGGUGUUUGUCUCUGCUAUGCAAAGACUCUCCCUAAAUACAUUGGCAGCCUAUGAAAUGGUUUGAAGCGCAGCACAAUUGCAAUUCAGGCGAUAUUAUGGGCAUCCAGAAAGAUCAUUAUCAC
rnacentral:misc_RNA from 1 species